GUGGAAUAUUUUUUUCAUUUACCCCAAUAUUUAUUUCAUUUUUUUUUUAGUUCUGCACCCUUAUUCUUCCGGUUUUCCCUUAAUUUGGACAUUAAACUUAGUUUACAUCUUCUUUUACCCAGUUGUCCUAUUCCGCCCAGUGCAGAGGGAAGGAGCAGGGAUUGCUGCAGAUGUAGACGGCAUGCAGGAAGUGCAGGUUAGAAAUGUAGGAAGUACUCUAUAUGUGCACUAUUGACAAGGGUGGUGGUUACUUAACCCUAUAUGUGCAAGAAGUAGAGCAACACAAUGCAUUGUGAACCCCCUGCAAUUACACAUUUACCUUUACAACCUAUGAAGCUAUGAUAGGACAGUAUUCAAUAAGGAUAUCUAAGGACAUGAUUACAGAGACAGAAACUCUGGAUCCAGAAAAAGAGUGAAAACUAUUGGUGUUUGGCCGCAUUUUUAUUACCUUUUGACCAGAUUAUUUCCUGCUCAUCUUUUCAAGGCAACGUAUUAAAAUACACAGCAUAUAUCAAUGGCUGUACCCGCGGGACCCUGUUCCAUGGCAGUGUCCUUCCUGCAAGGACCUUGUAAGUGAAGCGUCCCAUCUUGCUGGACCCUCCAUCCCAUGGGGCUGUUUGGAGGUGCCUGCUAGGAGUCGGGAGGGCAGAGGAGAGGGUGGAUGAUGCUUAUACCAUCACUGGGCCUGUUCUGUCUCUCUUCUCCUGCAUUAGAGAUUGGCUCUGAGAGAGGGGAAGGCGGUUGCAGCAUAAUAUUACCUUGUGAUUCUAUGACCCUCCUCUAUGCAUCCCUAACUCUCAAAAGCUGAUUCAGCUUUCAGCUCGUGCUCUGGUGACUCCGCUGCUGCAACCGACUCUUCUAUCAGGGUAUGUCUCUCUCCCCUCACACACCCUCCUUUUUCUAUGCUGUUCUCUUUUAGUUAGCUUGCUUUAAAUAUCAUAGAAUAUUACCUGCUCCAUUCAAACUUGCCUGAUGACUUUGAAUGAGCAUCUUUUAGAGGUUGGAUGUUUGAGCGCUGCAUGCAAAGGCUUAUUUGGGUGAUUGUGCAGAAAGAUGCUUCUCAAUGCAGAAUUCUGCCGAGCCAGCAAUUGAAGUGGAUGCAUAAAGGCUGAAAUCUUACAAGUUUGGCGUGUAAUCAUUUGGUGUGGUUAUCAUGUUCUGUGCUAGUGGAGGCCUGUGUUGUGAGAUGCUCCAGGGAAGAGAAAGGGUUAGCACCAGCCGUGUGAAGCUACAUUAAGACAGGACUGUGUACAUGAAUUGAACGUUUUUAUUAGCACACAGCAUCACUGUAAGGAAAUGCAUGCAGACACAGUAACACGCUACAUGGUUCAGUGUUCAAUGACUUUAAAAUUAAAUAACAUUUAAAGCAUCUUUUUCUCGUUGCCCUUGGGUAGAUUUUGUAUGUUAUAAUCUAAAUAACUUUGUAUAAGUCCAUGUCCACAAGCAAUAUGCAGAGGGUUUAACAAGAAGAAUAUACUGCAUGAUAUGACAGGAGUACUUUCUG